rnacentral:rRNA from 1 species
AUUGAACGCUGGCGGCAGGCCUAACACAUGCAAGUCGAACGCGUGGCGGACGGGUGAGUGAUGUCUGGGAAACUGCCCGAUGGAGGGGGAUAACUCCUGGAAACGGUAGCUAAUACCGCAUACCCUCGGAGGUGCCCCGAUGGGGUUAGCGCGUAGGUGGGGUAACGGCUCACCAAGGCGACGCUCCCUAGCUGGUCUGAGAGGAUGACCCGCCACACUGGAACUGAGACACGGUCCAGACUCCUACGGGAGGCAGCAGUGGGGAAUAUUGCACAAUGGGCGCAAGCAGGAUGCAGCCAUGCCGCGUGUAUGAAGAAGGCCUUCGGGUUGUAAAGUACUUUCAGCGAGGAGGCGUUACUCGCAGAAGAAGCACCGGCUAACUCCGUGCCAGCAGCCGCGGUAAUUC